rnacentral:siRNA from 1 species
GCGUGUUUGGGCGAGAGUAGUA